AAUUACUGCGGAGUACGCUAAAAGCCAAGACAAAGAUGAAAAAGAGAAGAGCAAUUGUACAUGAUGUGACAAACGCACGCAUGUACGUAUAUAAGCACAACCGCUAAGCCACAGCAAUUGCGCUCAAUUUAUCCGAUUACGCACUUUUAAUUCAUUUCCAUCCACCACCUCGAUGUCGCUGAUGCAAUCCAAAGGAAAGUGUGUUGUGCUCUCCACCUGUAGAAAACUGUUGUGCAGUUCCAUUGUCGUACCGUCCAAGGCAUCCAUAUUUCGGUCACAGUAUACACUCGCCUCAAUAGCUGCAAAAUCAAUGUGUGCCUUCCGAUGCCUUGAGGGCUGACGCUCGCGGCAAUAAAAUCCAAACAGUUAAACUUCGCUCGAUUUUGUAGGUAUUCUGCCACAGAACAUCUGACAGAUCAACGAGUUCUAUAAACAGCUUUUGGAAAACUAUCGCUUUGAUACACAAAAGCUUUAAAAACACAUUGCACUGGCGACACCAAUCCUGCUUUAAAAUCGCAGUGGCGCCAUUAUACACAACUCAUUUAAACUACAUAGUGAAGUGCCUGAACUUAAUUAAAACAACAGUGGCGCCAUUGUGUAUAUUGGCGUCAGUGUGGAGUUUUUUUAAAUUGGUGUCAGCGCUAAAGAAACCACCCUGUCCGACCGCGACUGUGCGAACAGCUAUUAAAAGCUCCCCCACAACGCGAAUAGGGGAAUUACUGCGGAGUACGCUAAAUGUCAAAACAAAGACGAAAAAAGAGAAAAACAUUUGUACGUGAUGCGUACAAACACAUGUUUACACUUUAAGCACUAUCACUAAACCACUCAGUAUUUGCGCUAUAGUAUCCCGAUUACGCACUUUAAAUUCAUUUCCAUCCACCACCUCGAUGCCGCUGAUGCAAUCCGAAGGAAAGGGUCUUGUGCCCUCCGCCUGUAAAAACCUCUUGUGUAGUUCCGUUGUCGUAUCGUCAAAGGCAUCCAUAUUUAGGACACAGUCUGCACCCGCCUCAAUGGCUGCAAAAUCUAUGCCUGCCUUCCGAUGCAUUGGAUCGGAUGUUUUUGACACCUGACGCAACCAAAGCUCGCGGCAAUGAAAUCGAAACAGUUCCAAACGGCGCUUGAUGCGAUAAUAGUUUAAACUUCGUUCGAUAUUAAAAGUGUUCUGCCACAGAGCAUCUGACAGAUCGACGAGUUCGCGAACCGAGUGGCAAGCCAGGAGUAUUAUUGCCGUCAUACUGACUAUGCAAAGAUGGGGUUACCGAUUUUACCCGAUGCAAAUGCGGUUUUGAGCACGGAGCUUAUACGCUCUCUCGCUCUUUUGGUGCAAUUCAGCGCGCUUUAAUGUACGAGAUUUUUUUUGGCUGAAUACAUAUAUACAUACACAUGUAUGUAUGUAUGCAUCUGAAAGCCAAAAUACGUGUGCCUUUAGCAGCGGUUUGUGAGCGGACUGUUUGGAAUUUGAUUUUAUGCCGGCCUGACCGAGGCCACCUAUAGCUCAAUACUUUUUAUCAACCCCGAGAUAUGUAGCUUUUGCAUUCUGAUAACAUUGUUUGUCUACACAUACAAAUUUAGUCAUGCGUAGGUGCGCCUAUACAUAUGUAUCUACAUUAAGAAACUUUUCUAGUAUGUAUAUUCUUCAUUCAUAUGUAUUAGUACAGGCGUUGUCUGUCGUAUUCGAUAGCGGUGGUAGUUCUUUUUGGCUAUUAAUGUACCAUAAAGUUGACGAUGCAAAGCAAUUAGUAUCGACAAACUUACAUCCUCAUUUUUAAACCUCUGAUAGGUUUCAUCCUGGCUUCGUUUUUGCUUUCCACAGCAGCAAGUCAUUUGUAUGAUGGAAAUAAAUUGAUCUCGGAACAGUUGAAAACGUUGCUAUUGUUCAUUAGAUAGCUGAAAAAUAAUAUGUUACCAAUCGCUAAGAAGACCUUUUUUAACGUUAAAAGUUUGAUGCUAAUAAUUAAAUAAAAACAAUAUUUUAUUGAACAAGUAUAUGUUCUUCAUUCUUAGAAUCACUGGGGCGUUCACAUAAACCUACAUGUGUACAUAUUUUGACUUGCUCGAUUUCAACAACCGCCACACGUCGCGAAGCUUUUCAAACUGAUAUUUUGUUUUGCACAUUAUCAUUGUCUGAAUCAGCCAUUAGACCUCGCGCUGUGUGCUUUGUAAAAAGAGAUUGAUGUACAUAUGUACAUACAUAUUUACAUUCGUAUGUGCAAGUUUUUAAGGCAAUUGCCUAUUAGCUGUUUUCAUUCAUUUUCCUGCUGUUUCUAAAGCAGAUAUAUCACAACCGAUUUUAUCAUUACCGAAACAUAUACAAAAGUGGUGUAUAUCAAAUUGUUAUUAAUGAUCGAAAUGACCUGUCGAAGCUUACAUUCUUUCUGCUUUUGAACUUAAAUAAGUUUGUGAACUAUCAAUUAAGAUGAUGUUUAGAAAAGACGUUGCAAUUGUUAAAUUUUCAGCAUCAUUAUUUAUUUACAUUAUUUAAAAUUAUUUUUCGGUACCGUUAUUAUUAAAAACAAAAGUUUAAUUAAAACUACAAAAAUACAGCUUAGAUUCAAGACUGUAAACCAAAUAAAUAUCUUCCGUUCUGCUGUCUAAAGGCAUAUUCUGGAUUUUAUGUUAACAUACACCAGAAGGUACAUUAUAUGUUCAAAACUUAACCCAAAAGAAAACUUAAGCGCUGAAUAAUUAAUCGAUUUACAUACGUAAGGAAAUUUUUUCAACCAAAUCGUGUUAUUCUUUAAAUAGUUGUACUAUUCUUGACUUAUUUUCGUGUGUAGACUCCAGCCAUUGCUUUUAAU
ensembl:ncRNA asRNA:CR44987 antisense RNA:CR44987